UACAGAGGGUGCGAGCGUUAAUCGGAAUUACUGGGCGUAAAGCGUGCGUAGACGGCUAUCUAAGUCGGGUGUGAAAGCCCCGGGCUCAACCUGGGAAUUGCAUUCGAGACUGAAUAGCUAGGGUACGGUAGAGGGAAGUGGAAUUUCCGGUGUAGCGGUGAAAUGCGUAGAUAUCGGAAGGAACAUCGAGUGGCGAAAGCGACUUCCUGGACCAGUACCGACGUCAGGCACGAAAGCGUGGGGAGCAA
rnacentral:rRNA from 1 species